GCCCCGGUGACCUAGUGGUUAUAGCAACCGCCUCGGAUGCGGGAGGUCGUGGGUUUGAUACCCGGUCGAAUCA